rnacentral:lncRNA from 1 species
CGCGACGCAGGAGCUGCUGCUGCAGUUGCAGAAGGAUAACCGAGAUGGUCGCCAGCGGAAGCAGGAGCUAGAGAAGCUGAUGCGCGGGCUCGAGGCCGAGAGCGAGAGCCUCAACCAGCGCCUGCAGGACCUGAGCGAGCGGGAGCGGAGCCUGCUGCGGAGGCGAAGCCAGGCAGCGCAGCCUCUGCAAGGGGAGGCGCGCGAGGCGGCGCGGGAGCGCGCGGAGCGGGUGCGCAGAAGACUGGAGGAGGCGGAGCGCCACAAGGAGUACUUGGAGCAGCACAGCAGGCAGCUGCAGGAGCAGUGGGAGGAGCUGUCGAGUCAGAAGCCCGGUAAACCCCGCCCUUACAAGCCCCGCCCCUAGCUCUUCUACUACGGAGGGGAACUGCAGAGCCAGAAGAGCACGGAGCAGCAACUCGCAGCCCAAUUGGUGACGCUGCAGAAUGAACUGGAGCUGGCGGAGACCAAAUGCGCCUUGCAGGAGGAGAAGCUGCAGCAGGACGCGCUGCAGACAGCGGAGGCCUGGGCCAUAUUCCAGGAGCAGACCGUAGUCCUGCAGGAGGUGCAGGUGAAGGUGAUGGAGGCUGCGGAGGAGCUGGACGCCUGGCAGAGUGGCCGGGAACUGUGUGACGGGCAGCUUCGCGGAGUGCAGUACAGCACCGAAUCGCUCAUGGAGGAGAUGGCCAGGGCGGACCGAGAGACGCGGCUGUUCGGCGGCCCUCGCGCGCUGGCCAUCAGGUGCUGCUGACGCUGCCGCUCCUCUUCCUGGGGCUGUCGCUGCUCUGGACGGUGCUGUUGGACCCCGGCGCCGUCUCCGCGUGGCUCUGGAGCCUCACCUCGGAGACGACGCUGCGCCGCCUGCGCUACACGCUGUCCCCGCUGCUGGAGCUGCGCGCUAACGGGCUUCUGCCAACCUAAGUGCAGCGCCCCGCGCCUGGCUCCAGGUGGACUCCAGGGCACCUGGCUUUAUUUCUGGUGCACUCCUCUCCUGAGAGUGUAGACCAAGGUUGCCUAAUAAACUC